CAGGUACGGACAGACAGGUGGACACUCUCAGGUAUGGACAGACAGAUGGACACUCUCAGGUAUGGACAGACAGGUGGACAGACAGGUGUUUGACUCUCUCUCCUCCUUUCAGGCUGCAGCCUGCUGGAGAACGAUGGUUGACACCAGGUCUUUGGAAGUAUGCCUGUGAACUGGAACUGGAUCCAAACUCAAUGCAC